rnacentral:rRNA from 1 species
UACGAAGGGGGCUAGCGUUGCUCGGAAUCACUGGGCGUAAAGCGCACGUAGGCGGCUUCUUAAGUCAGGGGUGAAAUCCUGGAGCUCAACUCCAGAACUGCCCUUGAUACUGAGGAGCUCGAGUCCGGAAGAGGUGAGUGGAACUGCGAGUGUAGAGGUGAAAUUCGUAGAUAUUCGCAAGAACACCAGUGGCGAAGGCAGCGAACUGGCGCUCGAUUGACGCUCAGGCACGAAAGCAUGGGGAUCAAACAGG